rnacentral:rRNA from 1 species
CAACGUGGGUAACCUGCCUUAUAGUGGGGGAUAGCCUUUCGAAAGGAAGAUUAAUACCGCAUAAGAUUGUAGUAUCGCAUGAUAUAGCAAUUAAAGGAGCAAUUCGCUAUAAGAUGGACCCGCGUCGCAUUAGCUAGUUGGUGAGGUAAUGGCUCACCAAGGCGACGAUGCGUAGCCGACCUGAGAGGUGAUCGGCCACAUUGGGACUGAGACACGGCCCAGACUCCUACGGGAGGCAGCAUG